rnacentral:rRNA from 1 species
AUUGAACGCUGGCGGCAUGCCUUACACAUGCAAGUCGAACGGCAGCACGGGAGCAAUCCUGGUGGCGAGUGGCGAACGGGUGAGUAAUAUAUCGGAACGUGCCCAGUCGUGGGGAUAACGUAGCGAAAGCUACGCUAAUACCGCAUACGAUCUAUGGAUGAAAGCGGGGGAUCGCAAGACCUCGCGCGAUUGGAGCGGCCGAUAUCAGAUUAGGUAGUUGGUGAGGUAAAGGCUCACCAAGCCAACGAUCUGUAGCUGGUCUGAGAGGACGACCAGCCACACUGGAACUGAGACACGGUCCAGACUCCUACGGGAGGCAGCAGUGGGGAAUUUUUGGACAAUGGACGCAAGUCUGAUCCAGCCAUUCCGCGUGCAGGAUGAAGGCCCUCGGGUUGUAACU